UACAGAGGGGGCAAGCGUUGUUCGGAAUUACUGGGCGUAAAGGGCGCGUAGGCGGCCUUCUAAGUCGAACGUGAAAUCCCCGGGCUCAACCCGGGAACUGCGUCCGAUACUGGUGGGCUUGAAUCCGGGAGAGGGAUGUGGAAUUCCAGGUGUAGCGGUGAAAUGCGUAGAUAUCUGGAGGAACACCGGUGGCGAAGGCGGCAUCCUGGACCGGUAUUGACGCUGAUGCGCGAAAGCCAGGGGAGCAAACGGG
rnacentral:rRNA from 1 species